GAGUUUGAUCCUGGCUCAGAUUGAACGCUGGCGGCAUGCCUUACACAUGCAAGUCGAACGGCAGCACGGGAACUUGCUCCUGGUGGCGAGUGGCGAACGGGUGAGUAAUGCAUCGGAACGUAUCCUGGAGUGGGGGAUAACGUAGCGAAAGUUACGCUAAUACCGCAUAUUCUGUGAGCAGGAAAGCGGGGGACCUUCGGGCCUCGCGCUCUUGGAGCGGCCGAUGUCGGAUUAGCUAGUUGGUGAGGUAAAGGCUCACCAAGGCGACGAUCCGUAGCAGGUCUGAGAGGAUGAUCUGCCACACUGGAACUGAGACACGGUCCAGACUCCUACGGGAGGCAGCAGUGGGGAAUUUUGGACAAUGGGGGCAACCCUGAUCCAGCCAUGCCGCGUGAGUGAAGAAGGCC
rnacentral:rRNA from 1 species